rnacentral:rRNA from 1 species
UACGUAGGGUGCAGGCGUUAAUCGGAAUUACUGGGCGUAAAGCGUGCGCAGGCGGUCUUUUAAGUCAGAUGUGAAAUCCCCGGGCUUAACCUGGGAACUGCGUUUGAAACUGGAAGGCUUGAGUGUGGCAGAGGGGGGUGGAAUUCCACGUGUAGCAGUGAAAUGCGUAGAGAUGUGGAGGAACACCGAUGGCGAAGGCAGCCCCCUGGGCUAACACUGACGCUCAUGCACGAAAGCGUGGGGAGCGAACAGG